ensembl:lincRNA Gm12153 predicted gene 12153
CCCAGUGCCAGAAAACGAAUGGCUGAUAUGAGUCAGAAGUUAGCAGGUUACCCUGUGAAAUAAAAAAAAAAAGUGAAGAGGUGGGAGUGGACCCCUGUGAUCCAAGAUGUGGCCUCAGCUGAGAGUCUCUGCGACCUCCUCCUUCUCCUGUAUCCUUGCUGCAGGUCUCUUGCUGUGCCUUCCAGUGCCAGCUGCUAAUAUCUGGGUCUCCCAGUUCUGUGGAGUUGCUUCUGGAGGUGGAGUUGGACUAAUCCGCUCUCCCUCUGGAGGAACCUGGGGCUAUGUGGACGGUUUGCUGUGGCCUGAGGAAUCUUGGUGUGGAUCUGCUCCUUCCACGCAGCUGCCAGCUAAGAACAUGGCAAAUCACUUCUCUUUUCUGCACCUCAGAGGUCUCCUCCCGUAGACGGCGAUUAGAACCUUGCAGAAUUGUUGUCUAGGUUAAACAAAGAAGAAAAAUCUAUUGAACUGUGUCCAGUCAGACACAACUUCUUCACUUGGAAGCCUUCCCUGUUUUCCCAUCAGUGUGGCAGUAAUUGAACCUUUUGGAGUAUGAACAGUCCUUCAUUCCUUCAUUCAUUGCCUUCAUUUCUUGCAAACACAGCAGGCUCUGUGGGAUGGUGUUAGUGCACCCGCACUCUGGCUAGUCUAAACAAAUCCAAGAAAGGCCUAUGAUCCAAGAUCAACAAAUAGAGGACACCACCAGAGACCCAGUAGACAUCUAGAGAAAGGCCAUGUCGGGUGGCUCCAGGUGAGCUGUCUGUUCCUUCUCCAGUCCAGAGUGGGAGUAGGAGAUGGCAGCCAGCCCUUGCAGCUGGAGGGCUAUUGGUCAGGAGCUGCUGAGGGACAUGUCAGCACAUCACCGAAGUGUCAGCCGCAGCAGAGGCCGAAGCACAGUCCCAUGUCACCCACAGCAGCCCGAGGAGUUCUGUUAAUCUGUUAUUUAGAUGCUUGACCAUCCAUUCCCCAGUGUUUCUCAAGCUGCCUAGAAGGAUGAUAUGCACAUUCCAGUGGGGGUUUCUUCUGGAUUGCUCAGGCAAGCUUGUCUUUUCGCCUGUACAGAUGACUCCUAGAGCUGAAAGCAUCCCACCGGGAGGUCGCACACAGGAGGCCUCCUUCUCAGCAGGUGUACCUGUCAAUCUGAGAUGGAGGCAGAACAGAAUUGGAAAUAAUUUUAUUUCGACUGUAAAAUCGGACUGUAAGGAUUCCACCUUUUGCUGGGUCCAGACUGUGAGAAUGUUGUUGAGAAUUUCACUGUUGCAUUUAUGAACACAUUAGGCCCGUUUGCUUUCUUGGGAUGCCAUUAUAUGUUUGUCAUUUGGGGGGUGGUAAUUAUGGUCUCAAAAAGGAGAUGAAAAGUGCUCGAUUUUCUUUUUGGAGACCUUGAAGGGAGGGGAGUUGAUUCUUCAUUAAAUAUGUGGUAGAGUUCACUGGUGAACGAACCUGGACCUGGGCAUUCCUUUGUGGUAGUUUCUGUAGGUUUUUAAUUCAUUCUCCUUUCUUUCUAUAGAUCUAUUCAGACUAAUUCUCUUUGGGAGUGGGGGAUGGAGGGAGAGUCAUGUCAUUUCAGUCUUUCCAGGACCGUGUCCACUCCAUCUACGUUCAUCUAAUUUACCAGAAUAUAGUUAUUCAUAGUGUCUCAUUUUAAUUUCCUUUGAUUUCCAAGGUUAAGGACAGUAUCCUUUCCUGCAUUUUCCAUUCCAGUAAUGAGUCUUCCCGGACCUCCACAUCAACCUAGAUAAAAGUUUAUCAAUUGAUGUUUUCAAAGAACUCAUCCUUGGCUUUGUGGUUCUUCUCUGUUGUUUGUCUCUUCCAAUUUCAUUCAUUCCCUCGCUCGCCCUCAGUGUGUCCUUCCUCAUGCGCUUUGGAAACUUAGUCUGCUCUUUUAUCCCCUCAUGUCUUACAGUGAUGGGUGGCUUCCUUACGGGACAGUUUCUUUUCUCCUUUUAAACUAUGCAUCUGCCUCUCAGCACUGCUCCUAUGCAUCUAAGGGUUUAAAUAUGUGUGUGUCAUUUUUCAUUCAUUUCCAAAUAUUGCCUGAGUUUAUUUUUUGUGUCUUGAUCUGAUAGUUUAAGGUGGGUUUCAUUUAAUCUCUGCAUAUCUUUGUAAUUAAUGUCCUUAUAUCUCAUUUUUCUGACUUAAGACUUAAUUUUCAUGAAUAGACUUUCUUAUUUCUAUAUGUACUCAGGGUUUUAAAUGUCUGUUUUAAAUAAUUUCCACCAGUUUCACUGGAAAGAGAGCUCAUGAAGAUGCUUACUGUUGUGGUAUAAAGCAACCACAUGGUUUGAUUUUCAGUUUGUUUGUUGGUUGGUUCUUUUUUUUUUUUUUUGAUAGUUUUCAACCUGGAACAUCUGAUAAUCUGUGCUUAGAUUGAUCUUCAAACACCAGCUUUUAUUUUAUAAGCUUUUUUUUUUUAAAGUAGGAAUUACAAAUC